rnacentral:lncRNA from 10 species
AACAGAAUCAGGGCCUUGUGCAGAAUAAGAGAGAGAUGGAAAAGUCUCUGGGAAGUGAGGUGAUGGAUUGAUUAAAGGUGAAGGAAAGCAGUGAGCAUCAGUAAACCCAACAAAGAACAGAUUCAGGGUGGAUCCAGUUAAAACAGUUUCACAAUUUUCUCCAAUAACAGUUUGCAACCAUUCUUGAAGGCUGCAGACUUGGCAGACUUGGCAAGGUGGAACAGGAGAAAUACAAAGUAUGGAGCUGAUAUGGUUUGGCUGUGUCCCCACACAAAGUCUUAUCUUGGAUUGUAAUCCCCAUAAUCUCCACAUGUCAAGGGAGAGCCCAAGUGGAGGUAAUUGAAUCAUGGGGGUGGUUUCCCCCAUGCUGUUGUCACGAUAGUGAGUUCUCAGGAGAUCCGAUGGUUUUAUAAGUGUUUGGUAGUUCCUCCUGCGUUCAUUCUCCUUCCUGCUGCCUUGUGAAGAAGGUGCCUUGCUGCUGCCAUUAUUGUAAGUUUCCUGAGGCCUCCUCAGCCAUGCUGAACUGAUGUGGAGCUGAGAAGCCCCGAUUUCCACUUUCUGACUCCUAGACUCAGCUGAUUUGAACCCCUCAGUGGAAUAGCAGCAGCCCAUCCGCAGCUUUCCUAGAAGUUCCUGACCUAGUAGCCUGAAAUGCAUUCUAAUCAACAAGGCUGUGGCUGGAAGACUCCCCGUGAGCCAGGGAAUUGAAGCUGCCUCUGCAAGCUGAAUUCGUAAUUGCCAUGAGAAGGCAACAGCAUCAAAUCCUCCAGCGUGCCAAUUCUUUAGGCGAC